rnacentral:lncRNA from 10 species
UGUGUGUGUUGGCUGAUGUCGGUGGUCCCCGCUACUUGGGAGGCUGAGGCAAGAGGAUUGCUUGAGCCCAGGAAGUCAAGGCUGCAGUGAGCUGUGAUCGCACCACUGCACUCCAGCCAGGUGAGAGAGCUAGGCCCUGUCUCAAAAAUAAAAUAAAAUAAUCCAUCCAUAAAUAAAUAAUAAAUGUAGCAUAGCCUAAGUGUCCAGUGGUUAUAAUCU